AUGGUGAAGGAUUGCAAGUCUGCACUAGAUGGGGUAAUGCCCAAUAAUAGCAGGGAAGGCACCAAGAGCUUGCUGGAGAUGGCUGCUGGAGAGCAGGGGAAGUAUUCUCACAGAGUAGCUGUGAGGACACACAGAGGAGCUGCUGGAGAGCAGCUCCUACAGGUUGAUGACGAAGAUGGGAUGGGGCAGCGAUGUGGAUGUCUCCUCACCAGACAGAUCCGCCUGAAUCACCUCACCGGCGGCGAUUUCAUGGGUGGCGGCUGGAAGAGGGACUAG
rnacentral:rRNA from 1 species